rnacentral:rRNA from 1 species
AGAGUUUGAUCCUGGCUCAGGAUGAACGCUAGCGGCAGGCUUAAUACAUGCAAGUCGAGGGGCAUCGCAGUGUAGCAAUACAUGGGCGGCGACCGGCAAACGGGUGCGGAACACGUACGCAACCUUCCUUCAAGCGGGGGAUAGCUUUCGGAAACGAAAAUUAAUACCCCAUAGUAAUGUCAGAGGGCAUCUGAAGACAU